CUAAUUUCAGCAUCAUGUUUACUAAAAUUGGGACAGUGCAGAGAAGAUUAGCCUGGUCCCCGCACAGGGUGACAUGCAAAUUUGCGAAGCAUUCCAUAUUGCA